AUAUCUCUCUGUACGGGAAGGAUGAGAAGCUUCUACCAAGGUUCGAUUCGAGCGCAGCGAGAAAGCG
rnacentral:sRNA from 1 species